rnacentral:rRNA from 1 species
GAUGAACGCUGGUGGCGUGCCUAAUACAUGCAAGUCGAGCGAACAGACGAGAGUGCUUGCACUCUCUGACGUUAGCGGCGGACGGGUGAGUAACACGUGGGUAACCUACCUAUAAGACUGGGAUAACUUCGGGAAACCGGAGCUAAUACCGGAUAAUAUUUAGCUUCGCAUGAAGCAAUAGUGAAAGACGGUUCUGCUGUCACUUAUAGAUGGACCCGCGGUGUAUUAGCUAGUUGGUGAGGUAACGGCUCACCAAGGCAACGAUACAUAGCCGACCUGAGAGGGUGAUCGGCCACACUGGGACUGAGACACGGCCCAGACUCCUACGGGAGGCAGCAGUAGGGAAUCUUCCGCAAUGGACGAAAGUCUGACGGAGCAAUGCCGCGUGAGUGAAGAAGGUUUUCGGAUCGUAAAACUCUGUUGUAAGGGAAGAACAAGUACGUUAGUAACUGAACGUACCUUGACGGUACCUUACCAGAAAGCCACGGCUAACUACGUG